AGGUUGUUUGGUCACAUUCGCUGCUAUGAAUGAAGCUUAAGAAAAGCUGUCUUUGGAUUGCUACUAAUAGUCAUCUUCAUCAUUCCUGCGCCCUCUCUCUCAGUUCCCUUAUGAAAUAAGGGCACACGGGUAAUAAACAAAGCACUAUAAAAGAUCAGAUGGAGGUGUUCUGUGGGCUCACUCCAUGUCGGGAGCAAGCAUUCUGCACACCACCGCGGGCGCUUUCUGCUCCCAAAGGUGGUUCAAGAGUGAGGACUAGUGGCCGAGUUAAGCUAGACCCCUUUCUCCCUUGAUACAACCUCGCUGAAUUUGUCAGGGCCGUGUCCUUGGUCAGCUAAACCACACCUGACGACCGAGGGACAGGAAAAGAUGGCAGAGUAGAGACCCUUGGAUUUGCUCUUUUGGAUUUUGGAUUUUGACCUGGCUUUAUCAAUCCUCAAGCCAGAUCCAGGAAAAGGUGGUGGUACCCUUGGAAAUCUCCAGGAGCAGCUUCAACAGUCAACUACACCAGUAGUGCUUACAGCUGGAAAAUUCAUGCCAGUGGAAGAAUCUGUAGUGUCGCACAAACUCGCUGUGAAGCUGAGGAAUGUGCCUAAUGCCUGGAGCUGAACAAAAUGGCGGCCGUUUUUCUUUCCAGGAAAGGAGACUUCACAGGAGAUGGUGCAGAGACCAAGAUCUUUCAUACGCUGUGGACAUUGGUGGUAGUAGAGCCGGUCAAGAAAUAAGAGAAGUUGGAGGCCAGACAAAAUGCUUGUCGCAAGAGUGCGGAGUGAAUGAGUCCGGCAAGCCUGUGCCUUUCCUCUGGAUCAGGUGCCAGUAUAGACUCUGCGUGUCCGUCUUUCACAAGGAACUUUCCAAUAGAGCCUCGUGUGACACGUGUUUUAUAACCUGGUCAAAUGCAUGUUGCUGUACCGACGUCCUCUUGGGUAAGGACAAGAGACGCAGAUGGAUGGAGGAACUAGCCCAGGAUUUGAGAGCUAGUUGGCAAGAGUUGGGAUUCAAAUCAAGGUGGACUGACCUCCUUCAGUCUCCUUUUUCUCAGCUGUAAAAUGGGCUAAUAGUAACUGCUCACCUAGCGCCCAGCACUGUUGAAAGAAUCGAAUGAUUUGUCUGUGUGAAAACACACUGUCAGCUUCCAAGUAUUAGGCAAAUGUGCCCUCAUUAUUCUUUCAUCACGCUUUUAUUUACUCACCCUUGCUGCCUGGUCUGAAACUGCAAACAUUUUGAAAGAUAACAGGACUGCCCUGACUAAGUCGGUCCCCCCGUAAUCAAAGACACAAAGCCUUAUUUCCUUGAAAUCAUCCCCUUGGGGAUGAAAUUGAGAGCAAAGAAUUGUCCCAAACUUCUCAGGUCAGUGAUGACCCUGCCUUUUACCCCCUUUCAAACAGGACUUGUUGCUAUGAGACACAAAACACAGAACGAGGUGCCUAGCAUCACUGUUGGGCAGUACGAAAGCAGAACGUGCAGCUUUGAAGAUGGGAACCAGAUGAUAAAAUUUAGGCGAGGACUGAGUUACCAUUAUGCAGCCUCUAACUGCAAACUAAUUAGAAUUCGGGCCUGUUUCUAAGAAGCCAAGCAAACAACGAUGUUCUUAGAACACAAAAUAAAAGGAGGACAUUGGAGCUUGGGUUUGCUUUGGAUUAGAAAGCUCAGCAGAGACGGUGUGUGCACAGUGAGCAAAUUAUUCACUAUUCUCCAGUCCCUGUUUAGCACGCACCCACACCACACUCACUCUGAUUAAUGGAGGCUAUAUAUGCACACUGACAUCAGCAUUGGAGCUCCAGAGCAUUAGAAAUCUCACCAGGUGUGGCUAGUUUAUUUUCAGGUGUGGACAGCACAGUCAUUAAAAACAGAGCCAGAUUUGGUCUCCUACCUAAACUCAACACCUCUGCUGCCUCGCCCCUGGCAGCGUUUUCAUGCCUGCGGAGCCUGCCUUUUCCUUGUUGGGCAUGCAAACCUUUCACUUGUCAGAGGCCCAGAGUACUUUGGAAGCCUCGGAUGUGUCAGUAUCAGUCUACUAAUGGAAGCCAUGUGUUUGCAGAAUGGAAAAAACCUGGCAUCUUAGGGAUCCAGACAUGUCUCGCCCUAAAUGGGUCGAAAGCAGAGACUCUUUUUGAGUACUUUUCUUUUCUUAGUAGGUUGGUGGCCACCUUGCUGAUUAAUUGUCAAUAACGCUAUUCCGAAUGACCCCACUCCUAAACAUCAAGGGCCCUUUCUCCAAGGGCAAGUGAAGCAGCUGAGAUUUAUUGAACACAUAUUAGAUCCUAUGCAAUUUAUUAAUAUAAUAAUGAUCACAACGAUUACAUCGACGGCCACGUAUUUAGUGCCUUUACCUGCUAAGAGCUGCAUGUCGGCUGAUUUAUUUAACACGGGCCCCAAGUAGGGAGGUCUGUAUUCUCAUCCCCAUUUUCCAGGAGGGAAACACUUCCUCAGGAGGGUCCAGUAACAUUUCUGCUGGUGGAGGAGUAGGGAGAGUCAGUAUAAUUUGUAUACUUUUUUUUCCCAUGACACAAUAACUUGGAAAGAUAGGAAUUACGAUGCUAAUUUUAUAGCUAAAAUAGCUGAGAUUUAGAGAGUUUGAGUAAAUUUUCCAAGGACAUGUGGCUGAUAAAUGACAGCAGAGGGAUCUUCAUAUAAUAUGUACAAGUCAGUUUCGUCUGCUGUCUUUUACCACAGGGCAGAAUUUCUAUGGUCAGAAGCUUUAGAUUUCCCAAUAGACAGAUGAGGUGGACGCUUAAUGUACCACUAUAGUAGCAUAAGCAUAAAGGGAGGGAGAGAAAUUUUUGGAAGAAUUCGGUUAUGUCAUUGAAAUGUCAAACUAUCAAAGUUAGCAUUUGGGAAACAAUCAGAAAUCCUUUGGACUUAUUUCUUAUUAUUUCAUAUUCUUGUAUCUUCAAUAAAAAACAAGGUCAGCAAUCUCAGUGGCUGAAAGUAACAGACAUGUAUUAUUUAUCUGUACUCCACGUUCACUGUGGGGCAGCCGGCUGGGGCAGUGGGUGUUUAGGGGUGGGAGUUGGUUCUGUACCACUGUGUCUUCACUCAGGGAAGCAGACUGGUAACUGGAACAGCCCUGGCCUCGGUGGCACCGGGGGAGUGGACAGCAUAGGCAAGUCUGCAUUGGCUCUUAAAAUCAAUCUUCCACCUGAAAGUGUCUUAUUUCUUGGAUGCUCACAUUCCAUUGGCCAAAGCGAAUCUCCUGGCAUUCCUGACUUCAAGGAGAUAAGGAGCGGCACCAUCACCAUGUGCACAGAAGGGGAAAACUCAGUGCAGAACAUUACAGGAUAGCCUGAUAAUCACAAUUUGCAGAGAGAUAAAUAGAAAGAUAGACGGGCAGAUGAUGACGUGACAGAUAGAUAGACAAAUGAUGAUGUGAUAGAUAGAUGGAUGAUGACAGUGGGAUAAGGAGGAUAGUAAUCUUUUCAGUGCUUGGGCCCCCCAAAUGUCUUAAUCCUUCCUGGAAAGGAAGGAGGAAAGGCUGGAAGCCCCUCCCUGGAUUUGGAUAAGUGCAAACAGUAAGAUUCCAUAAUCCCCGCCUUCUCCUCCAGACCCUAUGAUUCCUACUCCUCCCUUUCUGUCUCCCACCUCAGUACACAUUGGUGAGGACCUGUUUUCUCACUGGAGUAGGAGCUGGGCUGAUGCCUUCUUCCACUGAUAGUGUCUGUGCUGCUUUCUUGGGUGCUUCUGUAGGAGACCUUGAUGUCUGGAUUGUCUUCAUUUCAGAGCGGAGCUGAGGGGCCUUGCUGCUCUGUUGUGAAUAUGGCUCCAAGCAAGGGCUGCUCCUCUGCUGAGGCAUUAUCUUGGCUCUGAUCUUCCUUUUCCCCCACCUCUUUCCCAGUCCUUCCUGUUGAUCUUCUGUUUUCACAUUAGCUUCUGAAUCCUGGAGAGGAGGUGAGGGUAGCCGCUUUGGGGGCCAAAGGGUGCUAAAGGCUUCCAGUUAAGGGGGCCAGUAAACCUUGGGAGUCAUCUGUGGGUUUCGUUCUUUUCCACUAGCCUGUGUAACAUCCCCUUUUCCUUCAAAUGCAUAAUUAUAAAAACAAACUGCUUUCCCAAGGAGCAGCCCACUGUCCACCCUGACACAGUUACCCCCAAUGCGGUCUGCCACCAGGCUCCAAGGCCCCCUCCUUUUGCUCCAUCUCACUGGCUCUUACCAGCUUCAUCCUUUUUGGAGAUGAAAGGCUGCGUCUGAAGGAUCAGUUCUGAUGAUUCUGGCCCCUUUAAUUAAAGUCACCUGAAUUGCUCACUUUUCUUCCCAGUCAUCCUAAAGCCUGGUUUAGCGCUGACAUAGCUCCCAAAGGAAUACUUGGACAUUUUUUCAAAAAUUGGUUGCAAACUGAGCUGUUUUCAAAAGUAAGGUCUUAUUUAAAAAAAAAAAAAGUACUUCCUUCUUUUUCUUUUGUGGUUCAUUAGCAUCUUCCAAGUUUUUUUUCUCUCUCUCUCUCUCUCUCUCUGUCUUUCUACUGGAAACUAGAAGUAUUUCACCCUGGCUUGCCAAAUGAUUUUUAUCUCAGAAGAAAAAGAACUUGCUAUUUCCUGAAAAUCUAUCUCUACCACCACCCCCUUUUUUAAAAAUAUAUUUUGUGCUGGGAAUCAAAGUCAGGUAACUCGAUAAAGAGUUAAUGAAAACAAAUUAAUUCUGUCUGUAUUGAAAAGAGAGACAGCCUGGCCUCACGGAAUUAUCUUUCUUGCUUCCCUGGACUUGGUGCUUUCAUGGUGUAACCCUGUUAGAAAGUCUCGGUGUUUGGGGGAAAUGACAAGGGCACACAAUUUUCCCACUGGACGAAGGUGAUUAUGUAUGUGUAAAUUAUUCAGAUAAUUUUGGGGGGUGGGUGGGAGAAAUUCCAUUCCAACACAUCUGGCUAAUUGCAUCUAAAUUAUCAUUUUGACCCUCUGUUAUGUGGACAAUUUGCAUUAAAUCCUGGGAUACAGAAUAGGAAUUUUAAAGAGCGUUUGGGAGACAGCUGCAAAAACAGUAUUUUAAUCAUCCUAGGUCUCUCCUUCUGGAACAGAAUUGUAUAGCAGUAGGAGAGGUGUCCUGAUCUUCACACCCUCCUCCUCUUUCUAAGCCCUUAUGCUCCCAAGGACAGAAUACGUUCACUCCGUAAUCUUUCUGGACUUGGAGGAAGAAUCCUCAUUUUGAAGAAAUAUGUAUCUUUCAAAGCUGGCAGCUUUCUAUACUUUUGUAGAGCCAUUGAGAAAUGUUGCUCUAACAGUGACACAGAAAGGAGGUAGUACAGGGGACAAGAGGCUACAUCUUUGUAUCCAGUCGUGUCAACUCACGUAUCUAUGUGUGUCUUUGAGACGGGAAGAAUGGUGGCAACGCUGUGGAGAGAAUUAUUGUAUGAAGUGUUGUGGGGAGUGAAGGCUAGAGGCCAAGUCCUGCCAAUGUCACUGCUUGAAGAUUUGUUCUUACUCUUGACUUCCAAACAAUAUCAAACCAUAAUGUAGAGAGGACCAGAGGCUAAUAAAUGGUGGCAUUCCAAGAGCCUUGUGUGGUUUCCUCUGGCCAAAAAUAACUAAGUAAAUAUCAAGGCACCCUUCUUUCUCCUCCUUUUCCUCCUCCUCCUCUCCCUUCUCCAUUAGCAGCUCUUUCUAACUCAUAUAGAAUGGAUGAUGCUAGAAUUGGACAGGGUUGGGGGGAGUAAGUUGGAGAUGUGGCUGAUGCCGCUCCAUCUCUUUGUCCAAAUGCAGUCUCUCUCUUCCCUAUAGGGAUCUCCAAGGAAGCUACACCUUCUUCUUUAUCAGUUUAAGGAUUUAUCUUCAGCUCAGCUAGAGAUUUAAGGGCUCUCGUAGACUGAGAUGCAAUUCCUAGACUAAAGCUUAAAUAUUUACAGAAAUGCCUAAAGUGGACAUGUCACAUCAAUUGUAUGUGAAGGAUGCUUUCCAGAUCAUUUUGCUUCUUUAUGGAUCUCAUUCUGAAAAGUGGAGGGAGGGCCAUUCCAGUCCUUUAUGAUCUCAGCCAAGAUGUUGUAUGAACCAUCCCACCUCUUUUUAGGGUUCCCUCUACAUGCUGGGUAGCUUUUAGCCAGGAUGUUCAUAAAGUGCUCCAGCAGAAACUGCCUGAAUCUUCCUUCGGCUCUGGAUGUUUUGGUGAAGUGACUUGGAAUAGGGAUGGAUCUGUGGUCUGGUCCCGAAACCCAGCAGACUGCAACAGCUAUUUGCCUCAGGAUUCUGGGGUUUGAGGUGUUUGGUUGUUGGUUGAGAAUAACAGAAAGGGAGAAACCCAGUAGACCAAAGGGAGGAUGCUGGCAAUGCCAAUGGAAUUCAGAUGGGUAGGGAGGGGGCAAGAACUCCAAUAUCCUCCAAAUAAGGUUCCCUUCAAGUAACUGGGUAUUUGCCUCUUGAGUUUCUGGAUUCCAUUCUCAACAUGCAUGCUGAGUCAUUCCAUUUUCUUCCUAGGGCUUUUCAAUUUGCCUUCUAGGAUUACAAAUCGAUUUUAUCUGCUAAGGUAGACUCAGGCUUGUUGGUUCCAGGGCUAUUUAAUGUUAGGAAGUGGCCAUGAGAUCUUGGGAAAAGUGCAAGAGAGAAGUAUUGAAGAAUCAAUUUAGGUAAUCUAAACCCAAAUCCUCUUUGUCCCAAGUCUGUGGAUGUCUUCGGUAAUUUUUUUGGUUUGAGUUAUCAAUGAGUCAGACAACCAGCACUGCCUAUUGAUGAUGUGAUUUGUGCUACAAAUGAUUCAGGUAAAUACCUAUAUGCCUUUUAUGCGGACUAACAACGUAUUUUCUUGUGGUCUAUUUAUUAAAUGCAUUCUCUUUCAUUUCAGCCUGUUUUCAUACUAAGUAGGGAUUCAGGGGAAUGAUAUGGGAAAUUUAGGAUAAGACAUUAGAGGACUUGAACUCAAGUUUCUGAUUUACUACUAACCAGCUUUGUGAUCUUAGCAAAGCCAUUUAACCUGAGAGUCAGAGAUCUUCAAUGGGAACUGGACUGGCUAAGAUGCUAUGACCAAAUAAGUAGGAAAACCAGUGGGAGGUGCCGCUGAUUUCUAGUACCUCUGUAUCAUCCUUGCAUAGUUCUUCUUUCUGCCAACAUUUUACUAUAACAGAGGUGGCUACACUCUGGCCAGGAUAUUGAGGUAAGGAUGCUGAUUUCUUAAAGGCAAUUGUAAAUACAGGUAGACCCGGGCUAGAAUUGAGGGCUGCCCUGUCUACAGCUAUCUGUUUCUUCCCCCAACAUUUACCCCCAUCCCAGGCUCUUCUGAGGCUCACUUGAAAUUUGUUCAUUUGCAUUAAUAAAGUUUUCUCUCAGGCGUCUUUGGUGUUGGCCUGUGUUAGUUUUCCAUUGCCACCGUAACAAGUUACCAUAAACUUAGUGGCUUAAAACAACACGCAUUUAUUAUCUCAUAGUUUCUGUAGGUCACAAGUCCAACACGGGGCUCAUCAAUCCAAAAUCAAGGUGUUGGCUGGGCUGCAUUCGUCACCGGAGGCUCUGGGGGAGAAUCCCUUUCAAGUCCAGGCAAAUGUUGUCAAAUUCAGUCCCUUGGGAUUGUAACAUGGAGGCCCCGUUUCCUUGCUGGCUCUCAGCAGGGGGUUACCAGCCUUCCUUGGUGCAUAGUGGCUCCCUUUCUCCUUCAAAGCCAGCAACAGCAAGUCAAGGCGAAAUUCAAGGUUUGACCUCUCCCUUGGCCCCCUUUCUUGUGCUCACUUCCACUAUAUCUCUUCUGUUUGACUGUCUGCCUUUCUCCUCUUUUAAGGGCUCCUGUGUGGGCCCACCUGGAAAAUCCAGGCUAUUCUUCCUACUUUAAAGUCAGCUGAUUAGUAACCUUAAUUUUCUCUGCAAUGUCCCUUUGUAACAAUACCUAGAUGAGUGUUCGAUUGCACAACCGACGGCUGGGAAUCAUGGGGGUGGGGAGGAAGCAUCUUUAGAAUUCUGCCUAAGGAAUUGUCCUACAGGGUAACGUAUUAAGCAAUUUUCAGUCAUCAGCACUUUCUUAGAAUUAGCCUAAUGGGUGGAUUUCCAGCUAAGGAAGUAGAAUGUUUUUGUUUGUUUGUUUAUUUUUAGUGCUAAAUGGGACAUUCCAUGGGAGAUUACUUCAGUGUUUGGGAUCAAGGGUUAGAAAUUUUUGGUAGAGAGCAUAUGAAGGUGGUGGACAUCUAAACUAGGUUAUAUAGACGGAGAAAGCAUCACCUGUUGGAAAAAGAAUAAAAUAAGAGAGAUUACCAAGGGGGAAAUCAUGUAAGUAAUACUACUCUGAGAUGUUUGAGGUUGAGAGGCACCAACUGACCUAUAAAUAAUGGAAUAUCAUAGUAAUAUACACUGUCCUCACUUGAAGUAUAGCUUUUAAAAUAAAUGAAAGACUAUUUGAGGAAAUAUUUGAAGAAAUCUGUAUGAGCUGAGUAUGGAAGAAAUCCUUCCAGGUCCCUUUUCACCCUCCUCAGUUUUUAAAAUCGAGCCCAACUGCCACUUAAGCCUAGCCACGUGAAGUAUACUCUUUAUAGUACUAUGUAAGUAGUUUUACAGAUAUAGAUAUAUAAUGUUCAAAUAUAAUUUAUGCUGUUUCAAAAUAUCUUCAGGAAAUAAGCAUCCAUUGCCUUUUUCGGUGACAUAUGUGUAUUUCUGUUUGUUCAUAUAUAUUGCGAUGGAGAUAGAUAGAUACAGAUAUGGACAAAUGCAGAAAUUGAUAUAAAUAUGCUAUAUUAUCAUUAUAUAGACCUAAAUACAAGACUUUGCGUUCUCAAACAAAAGCAAUUGCAACAUUGCAUAAGAAAACAAAAGACUAUUACAAAUUUUGUUUUCACCCAGAUUCUAUUAUCAUUUGACUCUCUUUCUUUUUCUUUUUUUUUUUUAGGGGAGAGGAAGAUUGGUGCUGAGCUAACAUCUGUUUCCAAUAUUCCUCUUUUUGCUUGAGGAAGAUUGCCACUGAGCUAAAACCUGUGCCAGUCUUCCUCUGUUUUGUAUGUAGGAUGCCGCCACAGUGUGGCUUGAUGAGCAGUGUGUAGGUCCGUACCCAGGAUCUGAACCUGCGAACCCUGGGCCGUCGAAGAGGAGGGUGUGAGCCCAAUCACUAUGUCACCAGGCUGGCCUUAUCUUUUUCUUUUUUUUAAUCUCCCUUGGGGUAGAUAUAGGUCUCAUCCAAAUAUCCAAACAGAUUCAUUCCUAAUUGCAAUCCUUUCCAAGGCAUUGGGAACUGUAUUCCUUCCACAUGUUCAUUUUGUGGUCAUCAGCGUUUCCUGUCCACGGGCUUUCUGUGAAUUCUCUUUGGACUUAGCUUGGCCUGUGUUUGUAGGAGUGACUGGAAGACAGCCUUGCUUUUGAUAAAAGAGUAUCAUUUCAUCAGGUCCCACACAUACACAGAGUCCGACCCACCCGCGCGGUACCUGGGGUUUUUCAAUCAUACAUUAGUCUGGGUCAAGUUGACUAUUGUCUGGUGUUCAGGUCCUUGACUGGAAGUACCAGGCUAAGGGAGAAAAGAAAUCAUAUCCUGUCAAUAAGCGCUGAAAAUAUUUAGUGUGGCAAGCUCUGUGUUUUCUUUCUUAUGAAAAGCUGAUUAAUAUUCAGUGGUUGAAGGUUAAUACCCCAUUCAUUUUAUUCACUUUACAUCCUGCACACAGCAGUGACUGUUCCAAUUUCAACUCCUAAUUCAUACAAAUCUGGUUCCAAUCAGGAGAUUAGUAACUUACUGCUUAAGCAGAAACAAAUCACACAAUUGCUAAGCUUAUCUUUCUACCCAUGCACAGACACGUACAUGCACUUGAAAUGGACUCAUUCAUGGACAGAUGCAAAUGCAUACAGACCAGCAAAGUCCAGUCAAGGUGGCUAUAUCUAGGAAACUUUACUUGCUUGCGCAAGCAUACGAUAGGGACUGAUAGAUGAAACUGACACCAGAAAGCAUAUGUCUGAAUAUAUUCACAUGUGCAAAGGUCUUUAACCUGACUCAGUAAUUGUGUCCCUGUGAAGUUUUCUAUAUCACAAAUAUUCCUACACUGAAUCAUAUUUUAAAUAUAUUAGGAUAAGUCAUUCUUGAAAGACUCUCUAUGCUACGUCUUUUUGUAGAAUAUGCUAUUAUGUUGUAAAUUAUUCAUGACAACUCAAUCUACUUGUUUACAAAUUCAUUUCUAUGUUUGAGGGGUUUUCGUAAAGUUGACACAUCACUUUUUUAAGAAGGUGAAAUUGCUGCAGGAUGAGCUCGGGAAUCGUGAUAAUGAAGGUUUUUCUGAUCGUAUGAGUAAAGCUACAAAACAGGUCACCAAAAUAGGGAGGGAAUUUGCAUUUCCUGAAGAUCUUUUGAAAUUGUAUCUCCUUUGUCUGGAAGGGAUUAAGAACAGACCUGCCGGGGUCUGCGUUUAGGUCCCUUCCAUUUGAGUGAGUCCAUGAUUUGGGGAAACAUGUCUGUAGUUACUGUAGGAAAGAUAAGUUUAGGUGGACAUCUACACUCAGGAUAGGAGGCAGAGAAGGGGAAGAAUGUCGAGUUUGCGUUUUCAGACCAUCGCACGUGACAGCUGACCUAAAGAAUUACCACCCCAGUGAUUGGCCAUCUGAUGGCGAGGAUAACUGGGGCUAAGCUUUUUAUUGUGGUUUUUUAUUGUAUUUACUUCUCCUCAGCAUGUAUGUGGUGCUGCUAAAAAAUGAUACUGUGGGACUCAAAAGAACAUUUUAAUAUUUAAUACCAUGAAUGAUUUUUUUGGGGGGAAGUCUUAAUUUUGAUUGUGAUUUCUUACCCAAAGGAUAUUUCCCAAAGCCUUGGAGACACGGGAAUCAAUAAGAUGCUGUGCCAGCUCAUUUGAAGGCCUAAAACCCACCUGUCACCUACAGACUCCUGGAUUCUAUCUUUCUUUUCUUUCUUCUUUGACUCUUACAUUAAGGAAGAAAGCAAAGUACAGAAUUUUGAGCUAAGAAAACACUACUUCCACAAGUAAGAAAAUAUAAAAACCCAAACAAUCCUAUCUUAGAAUCGUGUCUCUUGUGCUUACUAGGCCAAAUGGUCUUGGCCUCUCUAAACCUCUUAAUCUAGGCUGAAGAUGAAAUAAUGCACAAGAUAAAGAUGACAGUCGGCCUAUGGCAGGCCCUCAGUGGUGGCAAUUAAUCAUGGGUUCAUUGGGAGGAUUACGUGGUUUGUAUCGGUGAAAAUAUUUGGAAAUCUUUACAUUGUUAAACAAAUUAUGCAUCAUGAUCCUUUCUCGGUGUGGUUAUAUGUCAAAUGGCCUGAGUGGUUUUUAUCUGCCUGUGUCUGUCUGCUCCUCAGCCAAACUCCAGCUCCAGUCAACUGCUGGACUGUGUCCUCUGAAUUGUAGGAAGCACAACGCCUUAACUUUUCAGCGAAGUCUUAAACAUCUUCUCGCCUGCUGCCAAAGGCCUGGAUCGGCAGGAGCCUGAGGAACUGGGCAAGUUGCUCUCAGCAAGAACUGCACUUUUAAUAAAAUUUUUAGCAUCCUUGUCAAAAGAUGCUUGAGAACAUGGAGGCCCAGGUCUCAGGAAAAGCAUGCCAUACCCUGCCCUGGACAGUCCAUACAUAAUGAUGCUCCCGGUGAUGAUGAUAAUGAUAAUGGUGGCUAGUAAUUAUUGAUGGCUUCUUUAUACCAGUGGUAACAAUAACUCUAAAAGCUGGGAUUAUGUUUAACUGUCAUGUUAAUCAGAGGAAUGAAAGGACCCAGAAGCAGACUGAUCACAUAAUACGCAACUUUGUAAUGCCUGUUGAAGUUAAUUUACUUGAUUUUAUAUUAAAAAUGACUACAGAAUUACCUAUUGGUCUUGUCCUAUUGCUUGGCUCACAACUAAUUUUAUUGAUUACUUUAGAUUAUAUUAGCUGAAAACGGAGGAGGUUGAUUAAAAACUGCCAUUAUUAUACAUUAAGGCCAGCAAUGCAAUUUGUUCUCAAAUAUCAGGCUAAUUCUGGAGCUGACCCUUGGCUUCUUGAAGCUGAAAGAGAUGAAAGUGGGAUCCGGUGACCCUCGCCAGAAAUUUGCUUCAGUUUCUGGUCCACUGAUUUGCAAAAAAAAAAAAAAAAGAAAUGGCUUCAGGAUGAAACACCCAUGCCGUGCCCUAUUCUGGCCUAGUAACCUUGGUUAUGAUGCAAAAUGGGGGAUGCUAACUUGGUGCAUUAUCCCCAAAAGAACAAAACAUUUUGAGACUGAUGUCACACUGGAUUUCAGUCUGACGUGGUGACUCAAGUCUUCUUUCCUUCUACGUAUUAUUUCCCAGCAUUCCUCUUCAUCUUUGGUCCUCUGCAAUCCUGAAUCAGUGAUCACCCUAGAAAUGGACAAACAGAAAGAAUUGUAUGAGGAUCCCCUUGGGUACAGGG
ensembl:lncRNA